rnacentral:rRNA from 1 species
AUGUCCCAAGUGCCGAACGCCGAGCGCGACGGCUUCACCUGCGGCACGCUGUUCACGUGCCUCUGCCUCCCAGGACUCUCCAAGAAGAAGCCGGAGGAAACCGGCGAGAGUCGGCAGCCAGCGGCGCCGGAACAGGACCGGCGCACGGAGCAGGAACCCCCGCAGGUGCUGCUAACCCGCGCGGCGUCCCUGGAGAAGCUCGAGUGCUCCUCGCUCUACUCCGGCAGCAACAUCGUCUUCGACUUCCUGGUGGAGCCGGGGGGAAGGGACGACCGUGGCGCCGUCCAUGGAUACUGCCCGUCGCCGUGCUUCGACCUGCCGGUGGAGCUGAUAGGGGCCGGCGAACGAUGCGGCGUCGUCGCCAACGACGCGCCGGUCACGUCCGCCUUCGUGUUCGACGGCCACCGAGAUGGCGCAGCUCUGAAGAGGAUGGCGUCGUGCCUGGCGUCCAGCGUACCGACGGGCGGCGAGGCGCGGCCGACGCAUCUCGUGAGGUUCCUGUCCGCGUCGGGUUGUGCCGUGCCGGUGCGGCCUCCCGUGACGUCUUUCGGUGGCCCGGCAAAGGGGGGCGGCGGUUGA